GUUCCUUCUUGCAGGAUGAAUCUUCAGUUUUUGCAGUGACCCUCUGUGUUCCCUCUUGCAGGAUGAAUUUGCAAGACAACUCAAGAUCUCCGAUGGGAAGCUAGCACAAGUAGCUAGCAACAGUAUCAGGGAUAAUCUUGUGAAAAUUUUUAUCAACUACCAGCAACUUAACUAUGAGCUGAUUGAGGAAGCCCCAGCCAUCCGGGCGAUCGAUCUCGUGUCCAGUAUCGGCGGUCUGGUUGGUCUGUGGAUCGGAGUGUCAAUCUGCACAGUGGCCGAGUUUCUAGAGCUCCUACUAAACGUCAUCAUUUUCACAGUGAAGAAGAGACUGAUUCGGAAAAACAAGAAGGCUCCAUUAAAUCCGUACAUGAUUGCUCACCAAACUUUCAAGCCAAUUGUAUGAAGAUAUUGCAGCUAAAUUGUUUCACCCAAAACUGCCUCAAGUUCAUUCUUGCUAAUCAUUUACUUAUAAAUUACAAUACACUUGGUUAUAGAUUAUAACUAAGGUAAAACUUAAAAGUAACUAAAGUAAGUCAAUUAAUAUUCUUUUUUUAUUAUUAUUAUUAUUAUUAUUAUUAUUAUUAUUAUUAUUGUUGUUUGUAUUUUUCUAUUCAGAGUAUUAUGCUCCAUUAAAUGAUGGCCACAUGAUGGCAGAAGAAUACAAAAGAAUAUGUGUAUGGAAAGUAUUAUUUAAGUGUCAUAGCAUACAACAGGCUGUGUGGGCAUCCUGUCAUAUGUAGACCCCCUGAAUGUACAUUCAUUCGGAAAUGUUUACACACCUGUGAUCAUUUUCAAAACUGUAGAAGUUGAAAAACGUAACUCUUUCAUGCAUGAAAUAUUGAAAAUAGCUGAAAAAAAGCAG